UACGGGCCGCAGCAGGCGCGAAAACUCCGCAAUACGCGAAGGCGUGACGGGGCUAUCCCGAGUGCCGUCCGCUGAGGAUGGCUUUUCCCCAGUGUAGAUAGCUGGGGGAAUAAGGAGAGGGCAAGUCUGGUGUCAGCCGCCGCGGUAAUACCAGCUCUCCGAGUGGUGGGGACGUUUAUUGGGCCUAAAGCAUCNGUAGCCAGCUGAGCAAGUCCCCAGUUAAAUCCAGCGAUUUAAUCGUUGGACUGCUGGGGAUACUGUCCGGCUAGGGGGUGGGAGAGGCCGACGGUAUUCCCGGGGUAGGGGUGAAAUCCUAUAAUCCCGGGAGGACCACCAGUGGCGAAGGCUGUUGGCUAAAACAUGCCCGACGGUGAGGGAUGAAAGCUGGGGGAGCGAACCGGAUUAGAUACCCGGGUAGUCCCAGCUGUAAACGAUGCAGGCUAGGUGUUAGGGCGGCCACGUGCCGCUCUAGUGCCGCAGGGAAGCUGUUAAGC
rnacentral:rRNA from 1 species